rnacentral:rRNA from 1 species
UACGGGGGGAGCAAGCGUUGUUCGGAUUUACUGGGCGUAAAGGGCGCGUAGGCGGUCAGCACAAGUCAGUUGUGAAAUCUCCGGGCUUAACUCGGAAAGGUCAACUGAUACUGUGCGACUAGAGUGCAGAAGGGGCAACUGGAAUUCUCGGUGUAGCGGUGAAAUGCGUAGAUAUCGAGAGGAACACCUGCGGCGAAGGCGGGUUGCUGGGCUGACACUGACGCUGAGAAGCGAAAGCAUGGGGAGCGAACAGG